GACGAACGCUGGCGGCGUGCCUAAUACAUGCAAGUCGAACGAGAGCGACCGGUGCUUGCACUGGUCAAUCUAGUGGCGAACGGGUGAGUAACACGUGGGUAACCUGCCCAUCAGAGGGGGAUAACAUCCGGAAACGGAUGCUAAAACCGCAUAGGUCUUCGAACCGCAUGGUUUGAAGAGGAAAAGAGGCGCAAGCUUCUGCUGAUGGAUGGACCCGCGGUGCAUUAGCUAGUUGGUGAGGUAACGGCUCACCAGGGCCGUGAUGCAUAGCCGACCUGAGAGGGUGAUCGGCCACAUUGGGACUGAGACACGGCCCAAACUCCUACGGGAGGCAGCAGUAGGGAAUCUUCCGCAAUGGACGCAAGUCUGACGGAGCAACGCCGCGUGAGUGAAGAAGGUUUUCGGAUCGUAAAACUCUGUUGUUAGAGAAGAACAAGUGCUAGAGUAACUGUUAGCGCCUUGACGGUAUCUAACCAGAAAGCCACGGCUAACUACGCG
rnacentral:rRNA from 1 species